rnacentral:rRNA from 1 species
UACGUAGGUGGCAAGCGUUGUCCGGAAUCACUGGGCGUAAAGCGCGCGCAGGCGGCGAUCUACGUCUGGGGUGAAAGCCCGGAGCUCAACUCCGGGACUGCCUUGGAUACGGGAUCGCUUGAGGAUUGGAGAGGCAAGGGGAAUUCCACGUGUAGCGGUGAAAUGCGUAGAUAUGUGGAGGAACACCGAUGGCGAAGGCAGCCCCCUGGGCUAACACUGACGCUCAUGCACGAAAGCGUGGGGAGCAAACAGG